rnacentral:rRNA from 1 species
UCCGUAGGCAGCAAGCGUUGUUCGGAAUUACUGGGCGUAAAGAGUGUGUAGGCGGUGCUCCAAGUCUGGUGUGAAAUCUCCCGGCUUAACUGGGAGGGUGCAUUAGAAACUGGAAUGCUAGAGGAUGGGAGAGGUAAGCGGAAUUCCUGGUGUAGCGGUGAAAUGCGUAGAUAUCAGGAGGAACACCUGUGGUGUAGACAGCUUACUGGACCAUUUCUGACGCUGAGACACGAAAGCGUGGGUAGCAAACAGG